rnacentral:lncRNA from 1 species
UUCCAAAAAUGUACAUCAAAUUUGAAGAAUUGAUAUUCAAAAAGGCGGCUAAUUUUAUUAUAUCUAUGAUUUCCUUAAUAUGUGGCCAUCUAGUGUCCAAGGCGUUAACCCGCCUGUUGAUGAAACAGAAGGCCUCUAAAGAAAAAUCUGUUAAAUUAAUAUGUGUCCCCCCAUAACAAAUUAAUCCCUGCAAAGUUGGACAAAUCUGUGCGCAAGCCGCCGUUGCACACACUGUUCUCUCUCCG